GAUGAACGCUGGCGGCGUGCCUAAUACAUGCAAGUCGAGCGAACAGACGAGGAGCUUGCUCCUCUGACGUUAGCGGCGGACGGGUGAGUAACACGUGGAUAACCUACCUAUAAGACUGGGAUAACUUCGGGAAACCGGAGCUAAUACCGGAUAAUAUAUUGAACCGCAUGGUUCAAUAGUGAAAGACGGUUUUGCUGUCACUUAUAGAUGGAUCCGCGCCGCAUUAGCUAGUUGGUAAGGUAACGGCUUACCAAGGCAACGAUGCGUAGCCGACCUGAGAGGGGGAUCGGCCACACUGGAACUGAGACACGGUCCAGACUCCUACGGGAGGCAGCAGUAGGGAAUCUUCAGCAAUGGGCGAAAGCCUGACGGAGCAACGCCGCGUGAGUGAUGAAGGUCUUCGGAUCGUAAAACUCUGUUAUUAGGGAAGAACAAAUGUGUAAGUAACUAGGAACGUCUUGACGGUACCUAAUCAGAAAGCCACGGCUAACUACGUG
rnacentral:rRNA from 1 species